rnacentral:lncRNA from 1 species
CUCUCCCUACCACCAAUCCACCUCCAACUCCAACUCCAACAUCAUCCCCGCCCCCUGUACCUUAUCUCCUCCUCUCGUAGUGUCGUCGCCUCCGCCAGCUGUUACUUCUCCAUAGAAAGGAUUUGGGGGUGUCGAGGAAAAUGAAGAAGAAAAGAGAGAGAUGGUCUUAGAGAGAGAGAGAGAGAGAGAGAGGAGAAUAGCGAUGAACAAGGGAGAAAGAGAACCCUUCUUAAUUGUGAUGUAUCGAGCCAUGCGCUAGUCCUAUCUCGGCAGAAUACGUUAGAAAAAAAAGAACAAGGGGUACAGUAGCCGUGGUGGUCCGAUUGUUUGAGUAUGAGAGGAGAAAGCAACGAUGAGAGAGAAACACUUGAUGGGAGAUGAUGGGAGACACUUAAUGGGAAUAGGAAUCUCGAGCCCACCCCAUUUGUCGUUCCAACCAAGGAGCAGAUAAGGGAACAAGAAAACUCUCCAAUAUUUCUAGCUGGGCACGUGAUUUUGGCAC